AUCCCCCGGCGGGCUGAGAUCUCCAGCCGCCCGGAAGCCUUCCUGGCUCUCCUUCCCCGGAGCCAGGCGGCAAUACCGGCGCGGAGGGGGAUCUGGGCUCCGCCGGAGCACGGC
rfam:Sinomonas sp. R1AF57 chromosome.